rnacentral:misc_RNA from 1 species
CAGAGAAACUCGCCCGCAAGGGUGACUCUCCAACCCUUAUGUUAAUUAUACCUUUGUUGCUUUGGCGAGCCGCUUCGGCCACCGGCUUCACGCUGGUGAGCGCUCGCCAGAGGACCCUAAACUCUGUUUAUUAGUGUCGUCUGAGUACUAUAUAAUAGUUA